CUCCCCCCCCCCCCNCCCCCCAGCUUCUGAAUUGUCACUCCUCCUACGGUUUAUGGAGGAUAGAUAUUACGCUCUGAUCGGUGAUUUACUUUGAUUGGUCGUUUGUCAAGCGUUCGGCCUUCUCUUUUUUUUGUUGUUGGCAGAUUGCACAGUGGGGUUUGCUCUGUUGUUGAAUCUUUCUCUUCAUCAUCUGUUUUGGUGUUUGAUCUCUCGGUGGGUGAUGGUUCUGAUGGCUCCUUGUCUUCUAUGCGCUCUACAUCUUCAGAACAUCGUGUUCUCCUGUGUCUUUUAGUGUUUUUUAAGAUUCUCUUGAUGCAUACACACAUUCAAAUAAUCAUUCAAUGACCCUGAAGUCGCAGCUACAAGAGUUAACUCCGGAACAGCAGGGUAUACACUUUGAGGGGCUUGUCUCGUGUUUGAUGCUAACCCAUUGGUGUUCUGAUCUAUGUAACCAGAGGCUGCAACAAUCUUGCUCAGUAAUUCAGAUAGGCUUCAGAUGCAAAGCUCUACCGACCUGAUUGUGGAGGUUGCUUUGCUCGGUGGGUGAUGGUUCUGAUGGAUCCCUGUCUUCUCUGCGCUACCUCUUAAGAUGACGUUCUUGCUGUGUACGCGACAUUCAGAUGAGAGAUCGAUGAUCCACAGAUUAUCCCCUACACGAAUCGUGGAGGCACCAGGGGGACUGAUAUGAUAAAGUUUGUGCCUUUAUGUGUGUGUUUUUAUUGCAUAUAUUUACAAGCUGACAUCAUUGUUCGUGGUUAUGCUGGUUGGAAUUCUAGGUUUGCCUUGAAGGUCUUAGACCAAGUCUCCCAAAGGUACACUCUUCGUUUGACACUCUUGUAGUCAGAUCACGAGGAACUAAGGUUUCUGUGUGGGAGUGCGUUUGAUUUCUGAGUUCAACUUUCAGGCAGCAUCAAGAACCUGAAGCCUCUUUGACAGGCUUUGAUGGAAACACUUCUUCUAUGUGCUACGUCUUCAAGGGGUGUUUUGGAACCCAAUUAUGAUAUGAUCAUGGCGUAAUCUUCUCCAGGCUGCUACGUCUUCAGGCACGUUCUCACAGAUUUGUGGAGGAUGCUACGAUUGAUCGGUGAUGGAUUUGACUAAUCGUUGUCACUCUAAUUCAUAUUGUGGAGGAGGAUGCUUUGAUCGGUUGGUGAUGGUCUUGAACUUUGAUAGAUCAUUUUUGUCUUCUCUGCGCUACAUCUUCAUGUAAUCUCUUGGACCUUGUUGUUGUUUUUGUUGUGACCAUGGCGUUUCUCACUACAACUAAUCUCAUCUUCAACUCCGACCAAGAAGCAGAUCCAAGAUGGUUUUGAAGAAUUGGAAAGUCUCAUAACAUACCUCAACAAGUUCGUGUUCUUCGUAAUCCUCCUGGUUCACCAUCUAGAUAUGGUGCAAGCCAGUGUCGUUUUGCAAGUGUGGAUCGGAGGACCUUGCUCUGUCCAUGAUAGCAACGAUCCUCUCUCUCUCGGAACAACCUAUCUAAUGCAAUUUGCAAGGAGAGACCACGAGAGGAUAAUAAGAGUCAGAUGAAUUUUAUUUAAAGAGUUAAAGAGAUGUUGGAGGACAACAGUUGGCUCAUGAAAUCCGGAGGGAUCUGUGCUCGCUGCUGGUGCAGAGGAUGGGACUUUCAAUGGCCUAGCUUGCAUGAGAACAUUGCUUAAUGGUGGUCCACUUUGCCGGGUUUUGAGAGGUGAGUGCUUCUACUGCUGUUGUCAGUCUAUCAAAGGAGAAGGUCGAGAUGCUUGCCUCCUGUAGAUUUUACGGGAACAAUGCAGCCAAAUGAAAUUCUUUACAUUGCUAUUGCACAGUGGGGUUCGCUCCGUUGUUGAAUCUUUCUCUUCAUCAUCUGUUUUGAUUUUGGAGGGUGCUUUGCUCGGUGGGUGAUGAUAGUCUGAUGGAUCCAUGUCUUCUCUGCGCUACCUCUUCAGACCAUCGAGAUUAAUGUGUGUGAGGAGGGUUUGAAGAGAAGAAAAAAAAACAUUGUGAAAGUGAAUGGUUUGCGUAUGAAGCUAGAACCAUACAAGGAGAUUGUGUCUGCUGCUUUGUCUGGCAUUAUAACUCAGGAUGCAAGCAUGCAAGGCUAUUGGUGGGAUGAGAGGUAUGACUGGAUAGUCUGGAUUGCUUUGGGAAACCUCAUUGCUUGAUCCAUAUGAGAGGGGCAGAAUCUUGCUCAGCAAUUCAGAUAGGCUUCAGAUGCAGAGCUCUACCGACCUGGACCGUCUGAAGAAACUCAAGUCAUAAUAUUUCUUGCUAUAUGGCUAACAGACUUUCAUAUGACUCUUUUAUUCUACAAUUUUUUUUGCAGACUCCAGGACGUGAAUCUAUUGAGCUUGUGUGGCAAAUUUGACAUAGCAGGUCUCUGUCUGAUUUUGCAAACCAAUUCUUUUUUAAGCUUGCUUAUGGACCGACGUGGUUAUAUAUGGGGAAGAGUACACUCUUAAAUCAUUACAACAUGAUGACAAAGUAACACGGACAUGCGACAGCUUGUAGAGGAUGCUUUGCUCGGAGGUUAAUGGUUCUGACGAUGGAUCGUUGUCUUCUCUGCGCUACAUCUUCAGACCUUCAAGAUUAAUGUGUGAGGGUUUGAAGAGAAGAAAAAACAUUGUGGAAGUGAAUGGUUUGCGUAUGAAGCUAGAACCAUAUAAGGAGAUUGGGUUUGCUGCUCAGGAUGCAAGCAAGGUUAUUGGUGGGAAGAGAGUUAUGACUGGAUUGCUUUAGGAAACCUCAUUGCUUGAUCCAUAUGAGGGGUAUACACUUUGAGGGGUUUGUCUCGUGUUUGAUGCUAAUCGAUUGGUGUUCUGAUCUAUGUAAUCAAUCACUGUUGAUAAGGGAUGACUGGAUUACGCUAGGAAACCUUAUUGCUUGUUCUUGCUGUCUACACACGUUCAGAUGAGAGAUGGAUGAUCCACAGAUUCUUUCCUACACGAAUUGAUCGUGGAGGCACGGAGGGGGACUGAUAUGAUAAAUUUCGUACCUUUAUGUGUGUGUUUUGAUUGCUACCACAGGCUUACAUCAUUGUCCGUGGUUAUGCUGGCUGGAAUUCUAGGUUUGCCUUGAAGGUCUUCCCAAAGUUUAUCUUGAACUUGAAGGAUGCCUUUAAUCUAUCGUCGUCUUCAAUUCCUGUUACCUCUUUGAAGAUCAUGAGGAACUAGGAUUACUGUGUGGGAGGUUCGAAGAGAAAGAAAAAAAACAUUGUGGGAUUGCGAUUGAUUUCUGAGUUAAACUUUCAGGUUACCUCACAUCUAUACAUCUUUUUUGCCUAAUGUUUUGCUCUUUUUUGGUCUUCUGUUUCUUGUGUAUCGCAGAUGAUGUUGUUGCUGUGUACACACAUUCAGAUGAGAGAUGGAUGAUCCACAGAUUCUCUCCUACACGAAUCGUGGAGGCACCGGGGAGGACUAAUUUUAUAAAAGUUUGUAUGUGUUUUGAUUGCAUAACCACAGGUUGACAUCAUUGUUUAUGGUUAAUACUGGUUAUGCUGAUUGAGAUUUUAGGUAUGCCUUGAAGCUCUUAGACCAAGUCUUCCCAAAGGUCUUAGACCGUCUUAGACCAAGUCUUCCCAAAGGUACACUCUCUCUUCCCAAUGUCCAAGAAGAGCACCUCCAGGUUCCGGGCCAGCAAACACUGCAGCCAAGCCAUAUAUGUCCAAGGAGAUGGCCUUGUUAGCCUUCAAUCGGGCUCUUACUUUAAGCUAACUAAAACCAGAGGAUCUCUGAUUCUUGGUGUGGGUUUUAGAAAGAGCAAAGAGAAGUUAAAGUGCUGUCAAAAGAGUUGGCUCAUCGUCCGGCUGUGCCGGGUUUGUAGUUCAUGUCUCUACUCUUUGUUUUUGUCACCUCUAGUUUCAUGAAUUAACAUUGCAGGAUGUACAAGUAUGGUAGCAUCAUUCCAUUAGAUGAUUCUUUGGGUUAUGCUGCAAAUUUUUCACACAUGCUGGGAUAUAAUAGUCCUCAGAUGAAAGAACUCAUGUGGCUAAUGUCACCAUCCACAGGUGCCAAGCAAAGAGCAAGCUGAGGUGCUGUCAAAAGAGUUGGCUCAUCAUGCGGCUGUGCCAGAUUAUGUAUACAAAGUUAUUGAUGCUCUGCCUUCGACAGUCCAAUGACUCAAUUUGCUAGUGGUGUUAUGACCCUUCAGGUGGAUGGCUCCCAGAGUAUCUCUCUAUGGUUCAAAUACUCGGCAAGGUUCUGAGCCAGCCAAGCAUUGUCCCCUAUCUUGAAGGAUAUUCUGCCACGAUCCAAGUUUACCAGGAAACAGCUGGAUUAACAGUUAAUGAUCGUGUUCGUUCAAGGAGGCCUUUGAAGAACGAUUGCGAGAAUAUCAUGUGAUGUGCACAUCCCUCGGCGGUAUUUCUGUCCCAGCUCUUGACAAAAGAUUGUCUUUGGGACUAGUUCCUAGCCCAAUCAAUUCUGUCACAGGGAGACAGAAUAACUGGUGGUGACUUGUAACUUUUUCACCUCCUGGAGGAGACUUUUCAGAUCAUGUGACUUCUGCUUCCCUUGGUUUUAUGCAUGUAAUUAUGUCGUUCAUGGCUGUUGCUUCCCUAUCUUCCAUUGUACAUGUCUUCUGGGGUUUGGACAAAAAGAUUGCCCAGAGAAAACAUUUUCCUUCUAUUAAUUGGUUGAUUUCCUACUCAAAGUAUUCAACGGCAUCGGAGUCUUUAUAUUAGAGGUUCGAUCCAGAUUUCAUCUAAAUCAGGACAAAGGCCAGAGAGGUGUUGCAGAGGGAAGACGGUCUUAGUGGAAUUUUCCAGGUACGUGCCACUUAUCCUUGUAUAAGAAGUAUCAAUGUUGUGACUAAUGACCUCUUGUCUCAGCGAUAUACAUUUUAAGGUUUGGCAUCUAAACUUGACUUGAGUUAUAGACGAAAAUCAGUCUUGAGUUAUAUGACCAUGUUGUUUUGCGUAAAACGGAUCCAAGAUAUGUGUACUGAGUCCCUACUCUGCAAGUGAGGUUGAUCACAUUGCUAAGCAAAGGUGCGGUUAACUAUGUUCUGUUGACAAGGGCCACAAGCCAUCUAUUUUGGAGGGAUCAAUGUUGUGGAGGUUUCACAACAAUGGCUUCAGAGCAUCCUGAGGUUAAAGUGAAUCAGAUGCAGUGCUUCUUGGAGCCAUUGGAGGGUACAAAUGGGAUAACAAUGAAAAGCAUAUUGUUACAAAAUCAGAUUGAUUCACUGCAUGACUGAAACUCUUUCCUCCUC